AUCCCGACUGGGGUCUUUCUGCCCGAGGACGAGGAGUUAAAGAACGUUGCACUGAGUCACCAUCAGCAGCGCUCGGUUCCUCGGGGCUGGGUGCAACUCCUCAACAUUUUAUCUUUUUCUUCCUUUCUGAGGCCCGUGCCAGCUUCGGCAGCAUAUAAAGCUCCAGCCCAAAGACUUCUGCAGCCAGCCAUCACCACGGCGGGGGAACGCAUGCAGCCCUUGGAAGGAGACCCCCAGUAUCCAAGCCACGAACACGUCCAUUAAGACCUUGCUUUACUGACCCACACUCUGCCUCUUAGAGCAGAAAAGCUCCCCUCUGAGCCAUCACUAGGGGAAAUCCAGCCAGAAACGGGGGAUGAAAAGCAGUCUUCCAGCACCGCCUCCCUUCCCAGCUAGAUCAGGAGCCCACCGGCUUCCUCCCAGCUGAGUGCCUGCUGCUCUGGCAGCCCCGGUCCUCUCUCCAGCAUCCUGUAUCCCCACACAAAGGGACCCAGCUCGGGGCUGCCCACCCUUCCAAGGGUGCUGUCCCCCUUUCCCCAUCUGCAUACAAGCUGCCAGGGAACAAGUAACCGUGGCUGUGUGUGGUUUUCUCGCCUAGGGUGACCUGGAACACAUCUGCAAAGCCCUCCAAAGUAGUAGGAAUGUGCUCCGUUAGGACAUGAUUCAUCCUGCAUACCGCAUGGGUGGCUGCUCAGGGAGAAUUUUGACAUUUGCAUAGGCAGAGACUUUCCGCUUCUCACUUUGCCCUCCUGCGCUCUGCCGGGCUGAGCUGGGGGCUGCGCAGCCUCAAGUGCCUCCUGUGCCGGCCAGGGAUCCCCCCCCCCAAAGUGGAGCUGACCCAGCAGCUGCUCCCCCCUGCACCUAACGGGGCAGCAACAGGAGCCCACUGGAAAGCCUCGGAUAAGAAGCCUCUCCCAGCCCACUUGCGUUGGGUCAGCCAGACCGAAGGACGGCUUCAGACCCUCAGCCUUGCCCCAAGCAAAGCUGGAAAGGAGCUGCUGUCGGAGAUCAAUUAACUACUUGGAAACUGCAGCCGUCCCCCACAGGCAGGAAAAUAUUAUUCCAGUCCUACUGCUCAGGCAAAACCUUUGCCAUGCCAAAGGGAGCUGGAUUUGCUGUGGCAGCUGCAGAGGAGCGGGCUGAGCCACGGGGCAGAGAGGGAGGGAUGCGCUGUGCUGGGUGGCCUCCAGGAACACCGUGAGCAGUGCUGUGUGGGGCAGGGUGAAGAGAUAAACGGAAAGAGGUAUUUUGCUUGGAUAGAUUGGUGCCGUUCAAUGCAACUGUCUGAGCAUCGGCCUUGUGAACCGGUUCGUAGUGUCACUGCAAACUGGGCCAAAUCCAUCCCCGAUCCAGCUCCAGUGAAAUGAAUGGACCACAUUCUCAGCUGGUGUGAAAUGACACGAAAAGUCAGUGAACUGUGCUCGUUUAUCCCAGCCAAGGACCUGGCCGAUAGGCGUCCACGACUGAUGUGGCUGAAAUGUCCAAUUAAGUACGACCACAGGAAUAAUGCUGCACAUUAGUCCAGACAGAGCAUUUGAUUCAGUAUGUUUCUGGUUCUCUGCGAAAGUCUGGUGAAAUAGAGGCAGCUUUAAUUAAAGGUAGUG
ensembl:lncRNA